UACGAAGGGUGCAAGCGUUACUCGGAAUUACUGGGCGUAAAGCGUGCGUAGGUGGUGAGUUAAGUCUGAUGUGAAAUCCCCGGGCUCAACCUGGGAAUGGCAUUGGAUACUGGCUCGCUAGAGUGCGGUAGAGGGUGGUGGAAUUCCCGGUGUAGCAGUGAAAUGCGUAGAGAUCGGGAGGAACAUCUGUGGCGAAGGCGGCCACCUGGACCAACACUGGACACUGAGGCACGAAAGCGUGGGGAGCAAACAGG
rnacentral:rRNA from 1 species